rnacentral:lncRNA from 1 species
GAGUCAUAUGGUCACUAAUCCAGCAGCUGUCUUGUUGCUUUAAAUAUUACACGUGCGCCAUGCGCAGACACACACAUACACACUCUUUUUAAAGGGGAGAGAGGGAUAGGAACACAAUACUUUGGCACAAUAAACUAAAAAGAUAAGGAGGACUACAAAUGCAGAACACUGUUGUCACACUAACAAAAUAUAUAUAAACUAUUUCAUUUGUGUAUAAGCUGCUUCCUCACAAUUUCUGGGAGUCAUAUUACAAGAAUAUGAAAUGGAGUCCAAUAUCUGGAAAUAUGCAUGGAAGACCUUAAUACAACAAGCUGUCAUUCAUAUUUAAGUUCUUCCAAUGUGACAGGAGGACCUUUAAAGAACACAUUACCCUGACCUCCCUAGUUUUCCUACCCUUACUUCCAGAAUCCAUUAUCAUCUUAUAUAAAUAAUACUCCCUAUACUGUUGUAAAUGGCAACCCUUAAUAAAUGAUCUUUCUAAGUUACUGUGGCUGAAAUAAUUUAAGUGGGCCUAUAUCUUAAUUAUGAACUCUUCUGACCUUAGCUAGAUUGGUCCUUGGAUGACUUACAUGUAGUUCAUUAAACAUAUACUCAAAAAGUCAAAUCAAGAUAACUUAAGUGUUUCUUCCCCCCACCCCCACUGGUCUGUUAUAAGCACCUAGUGUAUAAUAGGCACUUGAUAAAUAUUUUAUGAUGAUUAUAAAACUUAAUCACCAGAAGAUCACAAAAACAUGUCUAUCAUCACCAAUAAGAACUGUGGUUUGUUUUGAAAAACAAAGUACAGAGGCAGUCAUGUCUUGCUUUUCCAUCAAAUAAAGGGGGAAAAUGUAAAUGAAACAUUGUUUGACCUCAGAGUUCACAAGUAAAAUGUGAAGAAAAAAAAAAGCAAACAGACAAACCCUGCCCUGGAUACUUCCUGAAGAAAUCCUUCCAGCUGAAAUUUCAGACAUGAGUCAGAGUUCUCUCUCACCUAAAAUACUUCAUUCUUCUUUGUGUGCAUGCUGUAUAACAUGGGGGUAAAAUAUAAACUCCUUGAGUGCAGCAUUGCUUUCAUUUUUAUCUGCUUUAAGUUAUUUAUACAAAGGUAACAAAUAAAAAUUGAAUUGAAACCACCAUAA